rnacentral:rRNA from 1 species
ACACAUGCAGUCGAGGGGUAACAGAUCUUCGGAUGCUGACGACCGGCGAACGGGUGAGUAACACGUAUGCAACUUACCCAUAACUCGGGAAUAGCCCAAAGAAAUUUGGAUUAAUACCCAAUAAUACAGGCGUACCGCAUGGUAUUCUUCGUUAAAGAAUAAUCGGUUAUGGAUAGGCAUGCGUUCUAUUAGGUAGUUGGUGAGGUAACGGCUCACCAAGCCGACGAUGGAUAGGGGAACUGAGAGGUUGUCCCCCCACACUGGUACUGAGACACGGACCAGACUCCUACGGGAGGCAGCAGUGAGGAAUAUUGGUCAAUGGACGAAAGUCUGAACCAGCCAAAUCGCGUGAAGGAAGAAGGUAUUAUGUAUCGUAAACUUCUUUUGUAAGAGAGUAAAGUGCACUACGUGUAGUGUAUUGCAAGUACCUUACGAAUAAGCAUCGGCUAAUUCCGUGCCAGCAGCCGCGGUAAUACGGAAGAUGCAAGUGUUAUCCGGAUUUAUUGGGUUUAGAGGGUGCGUAGGUGGUCUAAUAGGUCAGUGGUGAAAUCUCUUUGCUUAACAAGGAAAUUGCCAUUGAAACUGUUAGACUUGAGAAUGGACGAGGUAGGCGGAAUUCGUAGUGUAGCGGUGAAAUGCAUAGAUAUUACGAAGAACUCCAAUAGUGUAGACUGCUUACCAGACCAUAUCUGACACUAAGGCACGAAAGUGUGGGUAUCAAACAGGAUUAGAUACCCUGGUAGUCCACACAGUAAACGAUGAAUACUAACUGUUUGCGAUAUACAGCAAGUGGUCGAGCGAAAGCGUUAAGUAUUCCACCUGGGAAGUAUGCCGGCAACGGUGAAACUCAAGGAAUUGACGGGGGCCCGCACAAGCGGAGGAACAUGUGGUUUAAUUCGAUAAUACGCGAGGAACCUUACCCG